AUCCAGCUGAAGAGUCCCAAGUAAGAUGAAACGGGCAUCCUGGAU
rnacentral:hammerhead_ribozyme from 1 species